rnacentral:rRNA from 1 species
UACGGGGGGGGCAAGCGUUGUUCGGAAUUACUGGGCGUAAAGGGCUCGUAGGUGGCCAACUAAGUCAGACGUGAAAUCCCUCAGCUUAACUGGGGAACUGCGUCUGAUACUGGAUGGCUUGAGUUUGGGAGAGGGAUGCGGAAUUCCAGGUGUAGCGGUGAAAAUGCGUAGAUAUCUGGAGGAACACCGGUGGCGAAGGCGGCAUCCUGGACCAACACUGACACUGAGGAGCGAAAGCCAGGGGAGCAAACGGG